rnacentral:misc_RNA from 1 species
AAAAUCAGCUUUAUAACAUUUAUAUAGAUUAGAGUAGUUAUUAGUCACUAAUUGAUAACAAUCUUUCAGUAUUAUGAAGUUCAACUUCAUAUUCCCAUGCAAGUUCCUGAUGGAACUGUUGCACUAAUCAAAUCUAGCAUUCCUCUUUUUGAACUUGAAUUUAAACGAGAAGAAAUUUGUGUCAAUGCGAAAGUUCACUAUUGAGAUAAACAAUUAUAAAAAGAGAGGGGG